rnacentral:rRNA from 1 species
AGUCUGCAACCCGACUACAUGAAGCUGGAAUCGCUAGUAAUCGCGGAUCAGAAUGCCGCGGUGAAUACGUUCCCGGGUCUUGUACACACCGCCCGUCACACCAUGGGAGUCGGAAAUGCCCGAAGCCGGUGACCCAACCAAAAGGAGGGAGCCGUCGAAGGCAGGUCUGAUAACUGGGGUGAAGUCGUAACAAGGUACC